rnacentral:rRNA from 1 species
UACGAAGGGGGCGAGCGUUAUCCGGAUUCACUGGGUUUAAAGGGUGCGUAGGUGGGCAGGUAAGUCAGUGGUGAAAUCUCCGGGCUUAACUCGGAAACUGCCAUUGAUACUAUCUUUCUUGAAUACCGUGGAGGUCAGCGGAAUAUGUCAUGUAGCGGUGAAAUGCUUAGAUAUGACAUAGAACACCAAUUGCGAAGGCAGCUGGCUACACGAAUAUUGACACUGAUGCACGAAAGCGUGGGGAUCAAACAGG